rnacentral:rRNA from 1 species
UAUAAUAUUAAGUCUGGCCUGCCCACUGAAUUUUGAAGGGCCGCAGUAUUUUGACUGUGCAAAGGUAGCAUAAUCAUUUGCCUUUUAAUUAAAGGCUAGAAUGAAUGGUUGAACGAAAUACAAACUGUCUCACUCUUAAAAUUUUAAUAAUUUAGCUUUCUAGUUAAAAGGCUGGAAUAUUAUUAGAGGACGAGAAGACCCUAUAGAACUUUAUAUAUUUAUAUUUAAUUAAACAUAGUAGAAUAUUAUUAUUUAUGUAUAUUUAUAUUUUGUUGGGGUGACAGGAAAAUUAAUUGAACUUUUUUAAUAUUUAUAACAUUGAUUUAUGAACAUUUGAUCCAUUAAUAUUGAUUAUUAGAAUAAGUUACCUUAGGGAUAACAGCGUAAUUUUGUUGGAGAGUUCAUAUCUAUAAUAAAGUUUGCGACCUCGAUGUUGAAUUAAAGAAAUUUUAGAGUGCAGAAGCUUUAAGUAAUAGGUCU